rnacentral:rRNA from 1 species
AAUAAAUUAGAAAGACGAGAAGACCCUAUAGAGUUUUAUAAGUAAAAUUAAUUGAGAUUAUUUGUAAAGGUUAAAAUUAAAAUUAAGAUUAAUUUAUUUAUUUUGUUGGGGUGACAGAAAAAUAUGAAAAACUUUUUAUAUGUUUAAAACAUUAAUAAGUGGUUAAAUGAUCCAAUAUUAUUGAUUAUAAGAAAAAAUUACCUUAGGGAUAACAGCGUAAUUUUUUUUUUUAGUUCACAUAAAAAAAAAA